CGGCCGUGAUGUGAGCGUUUCAGCUGCAGUCGCCGUGGAGAGCGAAACCGAGCUUUUUAACGCUGAGCCGC